rnacentral:rRNA from 1 species
CCUACGGGGGGCAGCAGUCGAGAAUCAUUCACAAUGGGGGAAACCCUGAUGGUGCGACGCCGCGUGGGGGAAUGAAGGUCUUCGGAUUGUAAACCCCUGUCAUGUGGGAGCAAAUUAAAAAGAUAGUACCACAAGAGGAAGAGACGGCUAACUCUGUGCCAGCAGCCGCGGUAAUACAGAGGUCUCAAGCGUUGUUCGGAAUCACUGGGCGUAAAGCGUGCGUAGGCUGUUUCGUAAGUCGUGUGUGAAAGGCCCGGGCUCAACCCGCGGACGGCACAUGAUACUGCGAGACUAGAGUAAUGGAGGGGGAACCGGAAUUCUCGGUGUAGCAGUGAAAUGCGUAGAUAUCGAGAGGAACACUCGUGGCGAAGGCGGGUUCCUGGACAUUAACUGACGCUGAGGCACGAAGGCCAGGGGAGCGAAAGGGAUUAGAUACCCGUGUAGUC